GUCGACGAUGAACCGGGUGCUUGCACUUGGGGAUUAGUGGCGAACGGGUGAGUAACACGUGAGCAACCUGCCCCUCACUCUGGGAUAAGCGCUGGAAACGGCGUCUAAUACUGGAUACGAGUCGCAACCGCAUGGUUAGUGACUGGAAAGAUUUUUUGGUGGGGGAUGGGCUCGCGGCCUAUCAGCUUGUUGGUGAGGUAAUGGCUCACCAAGGCGUCGACGGGUAGCCGGCCUGAGAGGGUGACCGGCCACACUGGGACUGAGACACGGCCCAGACUCCUACGGGAGGCAGCAGUGGGGAAUAUUGCACAAUGGGCGGAAGCCUGAUGCAGCAACGCCGCGUGAGGGAUGACGGCCUUCGGGUUGUAAACCUCUUUUAGCAGGGAAGAAGCGUGAGUGACGGUACCUGCAGAAAAAGCACCGGCUAACUACGUGCCAGCAGCCGCGGUAAUACGUAGGGUGCAAGCGUUAUCCGGAAUUAUUGGGCGUAAAGAGCUCGUAGGCGGUUUGUCGCGUCUGCUGUGAAAUCCCGAGGCUCAACCUCGGGCCUGCAGUGGGUACGGGCAGACUAGAGUGCGGUAGGGGAGAUUGGAAUUCCUGGUGUAGCGGUGGAAUGCGCAGAUAUCAGGAGGAACACCGAUGGCGAAGGCAGAUCUCUGGGCCGUAACUGACGCUGAGGAGCGAAAGGGUGGGGAGCAAACAGGCUUAGAUACCCUGGUAGUCCACCCCGUAAACGUUGGGAACUAGUUGUGGGGUCCUUUCCACGGAUUCCGUGACGCAGCUAACGCAUUAAGUUCCCCGCCUGGGGAGUACGGCCGCAAGGCUAAAACUCAAAGGAAUUGACGGGGACCCGCACAAGCGGCGGAGCAUGCGGAUUAAUUCGAUGCAACGCGAAGAACCUUACCAAGGCUUGACAUACACCAGAACACCCUAGAAAUAGGGGACUCUUUGGACACUGGUGAACAGGUGGUGCAUGGUUGUCGUCAGCUCGUGUCGUGAGAUGUUGGGUUAAGUCCCGCAACGAGGGCAACCCUCGUUCUAUGUUGCCAGCACGUAAUGGUGGGAACUCAUGGGAUACUGCCGGGGUCAACUCGGAAGAAAGGGGGGGAUGACGUCAAAUCAUCAUGCCCCUUAUGUCUUGGGCUUCACGCAUGCUACAAUGGCCCGGU
rnacentral:rRNA from 1 species